UACGAAGGGGGCUAGCGUUGCUCGGAAUUACUGGGCGUAAAGCGCACGUAGGCGGCUUCUUAAGUCAGGGGUGAAAUCCUGGAGCUCAACUCCAGAACUGCCUUUGAUACUGAGGAUCUUGAGUUCGGGAGAGGUGAGUGGAACUGCGAGUGUAGAGGUGAAAUUCGUAGAUAUUCGCAAGAACACCAGUGGCGAAGGCGGCUCACUGGCCCGAUACUGACGCUGAGGCACGAAAGCGUGGGGAGCAAACAGG
rnacentral:rRNA from 1 species